AUUGAACGCUGGCGGCAGGCCUAACACAUGCCAGUCGAACGGUAACAGGAAGAAGCUUGCUUCUUUGCUGACGAGUGGCGGACGGGUGAGUAAUGUCUGGGAAACUGCCUGAUGGAGGGGGAUAACUACUGGAAACGGUAGCUAAUACCGCAUAACGUCGCAAGACCAAAGAGGGGGACCUUCGGGCCUCUUGCCAUCGGAUGUGCCCAGAUGGGAUUAGCUAGUAGGUGGGGUAACGGCUCACCUAGGCGACGAUCCCUAGCUGGUCUGAGAGGAUGACCAGCCACACUGGAACUGAGACACGGUCCAGACUCCUACGGGAGGCAGCAGUGGGGAAUAUUGCACAAUGGGCGCAAGCCUGAUGCAGCCAUGCCGCGUGUAUGAAGAAGGCCUUCGGGCUGUAAAGUACUUUCAGCGGGGAGGAAGGGAGUAAAGUUAAUACCUUUACUCAUUGACGUUACCCGCAGAAGAAGCACCGGCUAACUCCGUG
rnacentral:rRNA from 1 species